AACGUAGGAGACAAACGUUAUCCGGAGUUACUGGGCGUAAAGGGCGUGCAGGCGGCAGCUUAAGUUCGGCGUGAAAGCUCCUGGCUAAACCGGGAGAGGUCGUCGGAAACUGGGCAGCUAGAGGGUGAUAGAGGCGGGUGGAAUUCCGGGUGUAGUGGUGAAAUGCGUAGAGAUCCGGAGGAACACCAGUGGCGAAGGCGACCCGCUGGGUCACACCUGACGCUGAGACGCGACAGCAUGGGGAGCGAAC
rnacentral:rRNA from 1 species